rnacentral:rRNA from 1 species
CAGCAGCCGCGGGAAUACGUAUGUCACAAGCGUUAUCCGGGUUUAUUGGGCGUAAAGCGCGUCUAGGUGGUUAUGUAAGUCUGAUGUGAAAAUGCAGGGCUCAACUCUGUAUUGCGUUGGAAACUGUGUAACUAGAGUACUGGAGAGGUAAGCGGAACUACAAGUGUAGAGGUGAAAUUCGUAGAUAUUUGUAGGAAUGCCGAUGGGGAAGCCAGCUUACUGGACAGAUACUGACGCUAAAGCGCGAAAGCGUGGGUAGCAAACAGGAUUAGAUACCCCCGUAGUCCCUGUCUCUUAUACC